GACGAGUCUCACGAACGUUAUUCGGAAUUACUGGGCGUAAAGGGCGCGUAGGCGGCCUUCUAAGUCGGACGUGAAAUCCCUCGGCUUAACCGAGGAACUGCGUCCGAUACUGAAAGGCUUGAAUCCGGGAGAGGGAUGUGGAAUUCCAGGUGUAGCGGUGAAAUGCGUAGAUAUCUGGAGGAACACCGGUGGCGAAGGCGGCAUCCUGGACCGGUAUUGACGCUGAGGCGCGAAAGCUAGGGGAGCAAACGGG
rnacentral:rRNA from 1 species